UACGUAGGGUGCAAGCGUUGUCCGGAAUUAUUGGGCGUAAAGAGCUCGUAGGCGGUCUGUCGCGUCUGCUGUGAAAACUCAGGGCUUAACCCUGAGCUUGCAGUGGGUACGGGCAGACUAGAGUUCGGUAGGGGAGAUCGGAAUUCCUGGUGUAGCGGUGAAAUGCGCAGAUAAUCAGGAGGAACACCGGUGGCGAAGGCGGAUCUCUGGGCCGAUAUUGACGUGAGGAGCGAAAGCGUGGGGAGCGAACAGG
rnacentral:rRNA from 1 species